rnacentral:tRNA from 1 species
GCCCCCGUAGUUCAGAGGCCAAGAAUCCUGCCCUUUCGAGGCAGUGACCCGGGUUCAAAUCCCGGCGGGGGCA